rnacentral:rRNA from 1 species
CCGAGCCCGCUCAGAAACUACAAAGGAAUUGACGGGGGCCCGCACAAGCGGUGGAGCAUGUGGUUUAAUUCGAUGAUACGCGAGGAACCUUACCUGGGCUCAAAUGUAUGUUGACGUAUUCUGAAAGGGAUACUUCUUCGGACAAUAUACAAGGUGCUGCAUGGUUGUCGUCAGCUCGUGCCGUGAGGUGUCGGGUUAAGUCCCAUAACGAGCGCAACCCCUAUCAUUAGUUGCCAUCAGGUCAAGCUGGGGACUCUAAUGAAACUGCCUACGCAAGUAGUGAGGAAGGUGGGGAUGACGUCAAAUCAGCACGGCCCUUACGUCCAGGGCUACACACGUGCUACAAUGGCCGGUACAAAGGGCAGCUACCUGGUGACAGGAUGCUAAUCUCAAAAGCCGGUCUCAGUUCGGAUCGGAGUCUGCAACCCGACUCCGUGAAGCUGGAAUCGCUAGUAGUCGCGCAUCAGCCAUGGCGCGGUGAAUACGUUCCCGGGCCUU